CAUUCUCAUCCACUUCAAAAGCACUGUUUUCCAUUCCAUAGGGCUUCUCUUUUACUGUUUCACCGACGCUGUCUUCCAGUGCUGGACACUCACUGUCUUCCUCAGAUGAAACACGAGCACAGUUCUUUUUAUACACUUGGUCAACCUGUGUUCAUCGGGCUACACCUACGCACUUUUUGGGAAAAAUACAAGCUGGAAAAUGUUUAAAGCCUGCUCACCUCCCACAGACAUGACUGCCACCACUAGCUGGAAGAUGCUGUAGAUGAGAGGGAAUGCAAACAUGACCUCCAGCUCAGCAGGGCUGAAAGACAGCUGGACGAUGGUGCUGCACAACUGGG